ACACUAAAUGAAUAAACUAUUCUUUAUCUAUUAAUAAAUUUAUUAUAAAUACUUUUAAGUCCAUCUUAUAGAAAAUUUUAAAUCUUCUAACCGAAAAAAAUUUUUUAUUGUAACUCGCCUUAUUUCUUAUUUAUUUGCUGCACUUUGAUUUGUAUUAAACUUUUAAACAAGAUUUUGAAUUUACCUCAAGGUAAGUUCAUAACAACGGUAUACAAGCUUUUGUAAAUAAGUAUAGUGUUCUUGGUGACUAUCAAUUAUAUGGUAAGUUCCCCUAAAUACUACAUUCAGCCGCCAUAAUAUUUAAGUUUGGGCUUAAUAGUAAGCAUUAAUUUUUGUUUAAAUAUAUUAAUCUCCCUAUAAUUGGGUAUCUAAUCCAGGUUUAAUUUUGGAGGUUAAUAAUAAAGUAAAUAUAGUUAAUUUAUAAAAAAUAAUAGUAUUUCACUACGUAUUAAAAUUUUGUAUAUUAUUUUUGAAUAAACAAAUACUAUAAAUUUGUCUAACAGGUAUGACCGCGGUUGCUGGCACCUGAUAAACCUAGACUAUACAAUUAUCUAAAUUUAAAUUUCUUUAAUUGUUUAAUAUUUUUAACUGGAUAAAAUGUUUACACUCCAUAUUAAAUUAUAUUAUAAACUUAUAUAUCCAUCAUAUUAAAGUGGUAAAUCUAAGGGGGUUAUUUACCAUUUUAGA
rnacentral:rRNA from 1 species